UCCGAUCCAACUAAACUCCAUAUUAUGCAGUCGACGAACUUCCGUUAAUUGAUUAUGACGUACUUGUACUGAUUGAGAUUUUAACACGAAGUGAGUGGCGAACGGGUGAGUAACACGUGGGUAACCUGCCCAGAAGUAGGGGAUAACACCUGGAAACAGAUGCUAAUACCGUAUAACAGAGAAAACCGCAUGGUUUUCUUUUAAAAGAUGGCUCUGCUAUCACUUCUGGAUGGACCCGCGGCGUAUUAGCUAGUUGGUGAGGUAAAGGCUCACCAAGGCAGUGAUACGUAGCCGACCUGAGAGGGUAAUCGGCCACAUUGGGACUGAGACACGGCCCAGACUCCUACGGGAGGCAGCAGUAGGGAAUCUUCCACAAUGGACGCAAGUCUGAUGGAGCAACGCCGCGUGAGUGAAGAAGGGUUUCGGCUCGUAAAGCUCUGUUGUUAAAGAAGAACGUGGGUAAGAGUAACUGUUUACCCAGUGACGGUAUUUAACCAGAAAGCCACGGCUAACUACGUGCCAGCAGCCGCGGUAAUACGUAGGUGGCAAGCGUUAUCCGGAUUUAUUGGGCGUAAAGCGAGCGCAGGCGGUCUUUUAAGUCUAAUGUGAAAGCCUUCGGCUCAACCGAAGAAGUGCAUUGGAAACUGGGAGACUUGAGUGCAGAAAGAGGACAGUGGAACUCCAUGUGUAGCGGUGAAAAUGCGUAAAUAUAUGGAAGAACACCAGUGGCGAAGGCGGCUGUCUGGUCUGCAACUGACGCUGAGGCUCGUAAGCAUGGUUAGCGAACAGGAUUAAAAUACCCCU
rnacentral:rRNA from 1 species